UCGAGCGAGGCCGGGUAGCAAUACCCGAGUCGAGCGGCGAACGGGUGAGUAACGCGUGGAUACCUGCCUUCGGGUGGGGGAUAACCCGGGGAAACUCGGGCUAAUACCGCAUAUGACCGCGAGGUCAAAGGGGGCCGCAAGGCUCUCGCCGGAAGAGGGGUCCGCGUCCGAUUAGCUAGUUGGUGAGGUAAUGGCUCACCAAGGCGACGAUCGGUAGCCGGCCUGAGAGGGUGAUCGGCCACACUGGAACUGAGACACGGUCCAGACUCCUACGGGAGGCAGCAGUGGGGAAUUUUGCGCAGUGGGGGAAACCCUGACGCAGCAACGCCGCGUGGAGGAUGAAGGUCUUCGGAUUGUAAACUCCUGUCAGUGGGGAAAAAGGGGCGCGGGUUCAUACCCCGUGUCAUUGAUUGUACCCGCAGAGGAAGCCCCGGCUAACUCUGUGCCAGCAGCCGCGGUAAUACAGAGGGGGCAAGCGUUAUUCGGAAUUAUUGGGCGUAAAGGGCGCGUAGGCGGCCUUUCAAGUGGGAGGUGAAAUCCCUCGGCUUAACCGAGGAGCUGCCUCCCAAACUGAAGGGCUUGAGUCCGGGAGAGGUGAGUGGAAUUCCCAGUGUAGCGGUGAAAUGCGUAGAUAUUGGGAGGAACACCAGUGGCGAAGGCGGCUCACUGGACCGGCACUGACGCUGAGGCGCGAAAGCGUGGGGAGCAAACGGGAUUAGAUACCCCGGUAGUCCACGCUGUAAACGAUGAGUGCUUGGUGUAGCGGGUAUCGACCCCUGCUGUGCCGAAGCUAACGCAUUAAGCACUCCGCCUGGGGAGUACGGUCGCAAGGCUGAAACUCAAAG
rnacentral:rRNA from 1 species